rnacentral:tRNA from 1 species
GGGCCCGUAGCUCAGAUGGGAGAGCACUUGACUCGCAUUCAAGAGGUCGGGGGUUCAAGUCCCCUCGGGUCCACCA